CUGCGCUCGGUUAUCUUUCCAUGAAAGUCGUUUGGAUACGCCAUCACAUAUAUGUUGUUCAUUCAUGUGCCCACGUGUGCCGUGUGCAAUUAAUUGCGAGUGCAGAUCAGAUUAUAUGUAUAUUUUAGAAGAACGAACGAGAAGUUUAUUUAUAAUCAGAGAAUCCAUGGUUCACUUUUCUACUACUGUUCUUCUACGAUUCACUUUAACUACUAUGUAAACUUGAUUUACUAUAAUAAAAUAUGUAUAAAUGUUUA
rnacentral:lncRNA from 13 species